rnacentral:rRNA from 1 species
UACGUAGGGGGCAAGCGUUGUCCGGAUUUAUUGGGCGUAAAGAGCUUGUAGGUGGUUUGUCGGCGUCUGCUGUGAAAAUCCGGAGGCUCAACCUCGGACUUGCAGUGGGUACGGGGCAGACUAGAGUGUGGUAGGGAAGACUGGAAGUUCCUGGUGUAGCGGUGGAAUGCGCAGAUAUCAGGAGGAACACCGAUGGCGAAAGGCAGGUCUCUGGGCCAUUACUGACACUGAGAAGCGAAAGCAUGGGGAGCGAACAGG